rnacentral:miRNA from 1 species
AACCUGCCCCCCAGCUUUGGAC